GAUGAACGCUGGCGGCGUGCCUAAUACAUGCAAGUCGAGCGAACGGACGAGAAGCUUGCUUCUCUGAUGUUAGCGGCGGACGGGUGAGUAACACGUGGAUAACCUACCUAUAAGACUGGGAUAACUUCGGGAAACCGGAGCUAAUACCGGAUAAUAUUUUGAACCGCAUGGUUCAAAAGUGAAAGACGGUCUUGCUGUCACUUAUAGAUGGAUCCGCGCUGCAUUAGCUAGUUGGUAAGGUAACGGCUUACCAAGGCUACGAUGCAUAGCCGACCUGAGAGGGUGAUCGGCCACACUGGAACUGGGACCCGGUCCAGACUCCUACGGGAGGCAGCAGUAGGGAAUCUUCCGCAAUGGGCGAAAGCCUGACGGAGCAACGCCGCGUGAGUGAUGAAGGUCUUCGGAUCGUAAAACUCUGUUAUUAGGGAAGAACAUAUGUGUAAGUAACUGUGCACAUCUUGACGGUACCUAAUCAGAAAGCCACGGCUAACUACGU
rnacentral:rRNA from 1 species